GCGCGCGUCCGUCCGCCCCUGAGGGUCCGCGAGGGUCGCGCACCUGUCCAGACGGCCCUUUCCCGUCCCGCCUUUCGCCACCAAGGGGGCAGCGGAGGCCAGCACCGGCCGCCUCGGUGAUGGAGCGAGUGGAUCCAGAAGUGAAACCACCUGGAGGCGGCGGGCGGAGCCGCCCCCGGACGGAGCUGUGAGGAAGGGUCUGCAGGAGUGCGCAGAGAAAGGAGACCGGCUGGCUCGGACGGGGGCCUAGGGGUGACAGCGAAGAGGCUUCCCUUCCCCGCAGAGCACAACAUAGAUGGUUCUUCACCUGCUACCUGAACUCAGGGACAGUGAAGCAUGGAGAGCGGAAGUCUCAACCCCAGCCAUGCAUCCGUGGGUGCAUCCCCGCAAUCCAUGCUCCUACAACACUGUGUGUGAGGAUAAAGGACCUGGUACAGGUUGUCCUGCAGUACAAAGAGCUUCUAAUGGGUGAGCUGGCUGGAACACGUCCCCCAGGAAUUCUCAAAGGCUCCUCAUCCUGGCCUGCCACCACACACACACCUUUAAUGUGUUCAUUACAUAGAGAGAAUCAGUUGAAUGUGCAUGAACUCCAUGCAGAAAUGACAUAUGAAACCACCACAUGCGGCUAUUUAGAGAGAAACUUUAAGUGCUAAUAACAACUCAGAAUUUACUGGGUGCCUAACAGUAAGUACAGUGCAUCCACACCCCCUACAAUCUUUGUUAACAAUCCCCUGGAGCCGAUACUACUAUUAUGCCUGUUUUAUCACUGAAGAAGCCAAGGCACAGAGAAACAAUUCACAGGCAGAUAGUCUGCAGUGCAGCCAGGAUUUGCAACUAGCCAGUUUGACUUCAAAUCUCUUACUCAUAACCACUAGAUCUGACCGUGUCAUAUAAGUUUUAGGUAAAGAUAAAAAGAAAACCCAGUUGGUGUUUUGAUUGGAAUUCCACUUCAUUAUUCCAUUAACUUGGGGAGAAGUGAAUUUUUUAUAAAAAUCUUUCAGUGUAUGUGUGUGUGUGUAUCAACCUAUACAAAUAUUAUUAAAGUUUUGAAUGUUGAGCUUAUAUCUAAAAACUUAAUAACUCCCUUAUUUGUUCUAAUGGUUUUUUUCUAUAGAUUCUGAUUUUCUGUGUAGACACUUUCUAGGGUGAGGACUGAUUCUGUUCUUCCUUCCCAGGCAUCUUUCUUCUUUCUUCGUCUUAUUGCAUUGUGCAGUGCCUCUAGAAUCUAAGCUAAAUAGAAGGGGUCAUAACAGGCAUUCUUGUCUUGGCCCUUACUUCAGUGAGCACACUUGUAUUUCACACCAUGAAGCCACUAAGAAAGAAACUCAUUGUAAGCUCUUGGUAAUGCAUGUUGUUAAUGAAUAAAGUUUAUUUUUCUUCCUAGUCUGCUAA